AGCCAACAGGAUUAUCAGGCAUGGUGGUGCACACCUGUCAUCGCAGCACUGGGAAGCUGAGGGAGGGAGCAGGAUCACUGAAGAUAGCGGAGUGGUGAACAGCAGAGAAACGGUCUGAGAAUUGGUGUCCAGAUGCUGGAAUACAGCAAUGUGAGGAAGAGAAGAAGGGAAGUGGGUCCCUGGGACCCAGCAAGGAUCUGAAGCUAGAAUUGAAGUCCACAGGGAGAGUGAAGACAGAGACCUCAACACAGAAGGAGGAGGUGGCAAACCGUGCUUUCUGCCUGAGCCCUGACUCACUGCAUGGGAGGGGCAGCUCAAACCUGGAGAUGCACAGUGACUACUGGUGACCCCAGAGACCUCCACGGAGGAACACACCAGUGGAACAGAUCAGUGGACACAGCAGACCAAAGAGGCUGUACUGGGGAUCGAACUCAGGACCUUGUACUUUUGAGGCAGGCAUGACACCAUUGAGCUAAAUCUCCAACCCCCCAGGAAUUAAACUAAAAGAAAAUAGAAAAUGAGAAGACAUGGAAGCAAGAUGCAACCCCAGACUUCCAGGUCACCAAAGGCAGACCCCGGAGGGAAUUGACAUGGAACAAUUCAAAGACACCCACCUGGACUCUCUGAAGUGGUAACAGCAGAAGUAACAAAGCAGAUGAUUGAGGCUCUAGAAAAAAAAUCUAAUUCGAAAUUUCCGGGCCGGGGAUUUUGCUCAAUGGCACCAUGCCUGCCUUGCAUGUGCAAGGUCCUGAGUUUGAUCUCCGGUACCACAAAAAAAAAAAAAAAAAGAAUUUCUCAGAUAAUUACAGAGAUGGUGACUGUAAUGAAAGACAUGGUUAGUGAUUCUAGGGGAGAUACAGAUAAAAAAUAUAUAUAAGAGCUUAGGAAAAUGAUGGAAACCUUGAACACUCAACAUAGGAAAGAAAUGGAAUCCAUGAAACAAUUCAAACAGAUAUCCAGGAGAUUAAAAAUUCCAUUGAAUUUAUACGGAGCAGAAUGAACCAAUGUGAGGAUAGGAUAUCAGAUCUAGAAUCAGGACUGUGGUUAGCAAUCAUAAAAAGAAAGAUUACUUAAAAAUUGCAAGGGACCACGAAAAAUCAAUCCAACAGCUGCUAGAUGACGCAAAGACGAGUAAUAUAAGAUUGACCAG
ensembl:lncRNA